rnacentral:rRNA from 1 species
UACGUAGGCAGCGAGCGUUGUUCGGAGUUACUGGGCGUAAAGAGUGCGUAGGCGGUGUACCAAGUCUGUUGUGAAAUCUCCCGGCUCAACUGGGAGGGUGCGGCGGAAACUGGGACACUGGAGUACGGGAGAGGUAAGCGGAAUUCCUGGUGUAGCGGUGAAAUGCGUAGAUAUCAGGAGGAACACCUGCGGUGUAGACGGCUUACUGGACCGUAACUGACGCUGAGGCACGAAAGCGUGGGUAGCAAACAGG